CAUGACGGUACCGUAAGUAAUAAGCACCGGCUAACUACGUGCCAGCAGCCGCGGUAAUACGUAGGGUGCGAGCGUUAAUCGGAAUUACUGGGCGUAAAGCGUGCGCAGGCGGUUAUGUAAGACAGGUGUGAAAUCCCCGAGCUCAACUUGGGAAUUGCACUUGUGACUGCAUAACUAGAGUGCGGCAGAGGGGGAUGGAAUUCCACGUGUAGCAGUGAAAUGCGUAGAUAUGCGGAGGAACACCGAUGGCGAAGGCAAUCCCCUGGGCCUGCACUGACGCUCAUGCACGAAAGCGUGGGGAGCAAACAGGAUUAGAUACCCUGGUAGUCCACGCCCUAAACGAUGUCAACUGGUUGUUGGGAAUUCACUUUCUCUUUAACCAAUCUAACACGUGAAAUUGACCGCCUGGG
rnacentral:rRNA from 1 species